rfam:Triticum urartu cultivar G1812 contig585500, whole genome shotgun sequence.
UCAUUACUCCCUCCGAUCGAUAUUACUUGUCGCUGAAAUUGAUGUAUCUAGACAUAUUUCAGUGCUAGAUACAUCCGUUUGAGCGACAAGUAAUAUGGAUCGGAGGGAGUACUAU